rnacentral:tRNA from 1 species
GCGAGCUUGGCGGAAUGGUAGACGCACGAGACUUAAAAUCUUGCGCCCGCAACAGGGCGUGCGGGUUCGAGUCCCGCAGUUCGCACCA